rnacentral:rRNA from 11 species
GAAGGCAUCUAAAUAGCCUGAAGGCAUCAGAAGCAAUCUGAUCUUGGAAGCUAAGCAGGGUAAGGUCUGCUUAGUACUUGGAUAGUAGACUGCCAAAUAACACCAACUGCUGUAGGCU